GUUUGUCUUCAAGGCAGGGUGCAAUUCCCGACCGGCGGUAUAGCCCGCAACCCGUAUUUACGGUGGAACCUGGCGCAAUUCCAGGUGCCGACAGUAUAGUCUGGUAGAUAGAAGAUUGCC
rnacentral:ncRNA from 2 species